GGUGGCUGAUUGAAAGGAGUCAUAGCAUUUGUGAAUUUGUGCCUCUGAUGUAAAAGAUCUCUGCUCCUCUUGAUUCUUGGAUUCUUUGUGACAGCUUGUGAUUUAAAGGGACAUCAUCAUUCAGAGUGUAUUUAUUCAGUUAAGAAAUAACAUGUCAUCCACACUGAUUUUUUUUGUUUCUGUCAUGUGUAGUAAGUUACUUUAACAGCUGCAGUUAUUCAAAGAAUCGUGAAGAGGGAACAAGUUAGAGUUGAGGAGAACAUGCAGAUGCAUGCUGCAAAAUUUGGGUGAGCACUGUAUUAAAUGAUGGAAAGGAACAAAAUUCAAAUUGUGUGGAUAAAGGAAGAGAAGUUUGCAUAAUAGAUCCAGCCCUGCAGGUUACUAAGCCUGAGAUCAAGGAAAGUAUCAAGGAUAUCCUCCAUGGGUUGCUCAACAACAUGAGUCUUAAAAAACCAGUCAGAAUGAACAUCAGGCACAGGCACUUAUGGAAAGAUGUUAAACAGGCUCAACAAAAUUUGCUAUGAGGUGGCUAUGACCAUGUGAAAAUUGUAUUCAUUAGAGAACUGACAAUAGACAAUGAGAAGCAAGGAGAGAGUGCUUCACAGAAAUUCUGGAUUAUGUUAAAAGAGCUCUUUCCUCCAUGGGUAAAUCAACUGAUUCUAUGGUGGUAUUAAAUCAAAGGGAUUACUGCUUGGCUGCUGAGCUAAUGGUUGUGCCAGUUCUACAAAGUGGACCUUCACCAUCAUUUCUUCACUCAGCUGUUUUUCAAUAUUUAAGUCAUGGAAAUUUAUCAUCAGUUAUUCAUGAAAGCACUCUAAAAGGAACAGCAUU